UAUGGAAUAUUGGACAAUGGGCGAAAGCCUGAUCCAGCAAUGCCGCGUGUGUGAUGAAGGCCGUAGGGUUGUAAAGCACUGUCGGACAGACGAAAAAGACGGGGUAACGCCUCGGACUUGWCGGUACCUCCAAAGGAAGCACCGGCUAACUCCGUGCCAGCAGCCGCGGUAAUACGGAGGGUGCGAGCGUUGUUCGGAAUCACUGGGCGUAAAGCGCGUGUAGGCGGCAUCGUCAGUUGGAUGUGAAAGCCCUCGGCUCAACCGAGGAAGUGCAUCCAAUACUGCGAAGCUAGAGUGUCGGAGGGGGUGGCGGAAUUCCUGGUGUAGAGGUGAAAUUWGUAGAUAUCAGGAGGAACACCUGUGGCGAAGGCGGCCACCUGGACGAUAACUGACGCUGAGACGCGAAAGCGUGGGUAGCAAACAGGAUUAGAUACCCUGGUAGUCCACGCCGUAANCGAUGAGAGCUAGGUGUUGCGGGUAUUGACCCCUGCGGUGCCGAAGCCAACGCAUUAAGCUCUCCGCCUGGGGAGUACGGU
rnacentral:rRNA from 1 species